AGUGGUGAUACGGGGGAGACAGGUGGUGACAUGGGGGAGAAGGAGGGAGACGGGGGGACAUGGGGGAGACAGAGGGAGACAGGUGGCGACAUGGGGGAGAUGGAGGGAGACAGGUGGCGACAUGGGGGAGAAGGAGGGAGACAGGUGGUGACAUGGGGAGACAGGUGGUGACAGGGGGGAGACAGAGGGAGACAAGUUGUGACAUGGGGGAGACAGGUGGUGACAUGGGGGAGACAGAUGGAGACAGGUGGUGACAUGGGGGAGACAGAGGGAGACAAGUGGCGACAUGGGGAGACGUGGUGACAUGGGAGAAGGAGGGAGAAGGUGGCGACAUGGGGGAGACAGAGGGAGACAAGUGGCGACAUGGGGGAGACAAGUGGUGACAUGGGGGAGACAGAGGGAGACAAGUGGUGACAUGGGGGAGACAGGUGGUGACAUGGUGGAGACAGAGAGAGACAGGGGCGACAUGGGGGAGACAGAGGAGACAGGUGGCGACAUGAGGGAGACAGAGGGAGACAAUGGUGGACAGGGGCGAGAAGGAGGAGACAGGUGGUGACAUGGGGGAGAACGAGGGAGACAGGUGGCGACUGGGGGAGCCAGAGGGAGACAGGUGGCGACAUGGGGGGAGAAGAGGGAGACAGGUGGCGACAUGGGGGAGACAGAGGGAGACAGGUGGUACAGGAGGAGACAGAGGGAGACAAGUGGUGACAUGGGGGAGACAGAAGGGAG
rnacentral:lncRNA from 1 species